ensembl:lncRNA
GGAGGAAGUGACUUGACUAUCACAAACUGAUUUUUCUGUUAAAAAUGGUUUAAAUGUCCAGUUGGUUUGAACAGGAUAUGAGCAUACUCUGCAUGUUGGCAGGUCAUGUUCCAGGUUAAAAUUAUGAGUGGGCUGGAGGUCGCAAAUUAUGAGCAAGUUGAUAAAAAUCAUAACUAUGGUGUUUUUAUUGAAGAUACAUCAACAGGAGGAGCUAAAAAUAAUGAUACAAGGUGUGAAUUUAAAUAAGAAAAAAAUGAAGCUUCUAGUUUCCUUCCAUUUUACAGACAGCUAAACCUUUAUUUUGACCUGCUGUGGUGUGAUGGGUGGGAGGAGGUCAGAAAGGAUGUCAUACGGGGUACUACUUCUUCAGUGAGUCCAUUUUGAUCGCAGAUCUGAAGAAGUUUCUUCAAAAUGGCAAAUAAGGUGAUUUAUGCAGAGCUAUCACCUGAGGAAAGAGUGCAUUAUACUUCACAAACUGCAAAUGCAGGUGAACAGAUAACCUACGCUGAGGUGAAAAGGAGGCGGAGAUCUGACACACCAGAAAGUGCACCAAAGACUACACAUCAAAAAGCCUGCUCCGAGAAUGCGCAAUGGUGUUACAUUGCCAUCAUCUUGUACUUCUUCGCACUGAUUCUAUUCAUCACUGUGAUUCUCUUAGCAGUGAAAUGUUAGCCCUGAGACAGAUGAUGUGGUUCUGCUGACAAAUGGGGAAAGCCAGGUCGGAAAGGCUCUGCUUCUUCUAUAAAACAAGACAAAAUGUUUACUAUUAUGUUAUUUCUUCUGCAUAGGCUUCUAUGGAAGAUGACAUGCCAACAGUCUGGCCACUCUUCAGUUACUUCUUCCAGGAUUUUCAUUAAACCUUUAACCUCUCUGAUUAUGGGAAAAAAUAUGUUAUUGAUGUAAUAAUACCAGCAACCACCAUAUGGUAUAGUGCAUGUAACAAGGCACUAGCUCAAGCUACUGCAUCAUAAGUUGGAUCUAAGUCUUGUCUACACAACAUAAAUGACCAGGAGGACCCAUUUGAAACAUCACUUUUAUUUCACACGACUUGAUUUUACAGUAAUCUGACGUGUAGAUAAGCUUUUAGAUUUGGAUAUGAUCAAGUGCAAAAAUGCAUGGAUAAAAUACAGAAUGUGAAUGGUUGCACUAAAAUUUUUUUAUGAGAUACACACAUGUACACGAUUUUUGUCUUUUGGUGGGAUCUAUAGGAGUGGGGUACUGAAGAUGAAGGGACUUCAUUAGUUCAUCAAAGAAGUCUCACUCUCAUUCCCCCACUGGCAUGAAUAAAAUUAUUCUGUUCUGCUUGUCCAGAGAAGUAUCUCACAGAGUCACAGUACGUUGGUUCCAUCUUGGAGCAGUAAUUCAUCUUUUGUUUCCAUUUUUUUUCCACAAUGCAGUAGCUUCAGUUAAGUCAGAGUCCUUCACUAGAACUAAACCACCUCAGAUUCAAAUGAAUUUGUUUGUAAUUAUUAUUUUAACAAAAUAAUUUUUGUUACAAUUUUUAGUUUAACAAAAUCAUUAUUUUGAAUUCUCAUCCAUUAUAAUUCCUCUGAGACAUGCUGAUAUCAAUGAUUUGCAGUUCCUGAGUAGAAGGGACUAUAUAGUAUAGCACAUAUUUGUAGAAUUGUUCCCUAUACAUAAGCUUAUCUGUACUUAGGCCAUGUUGUUGCUGUUGAUAUGUUUCUAUGUUCUUAUAAUAUAUUUGCCAGAAAUGAGUAAAGAAAUUUAGUAAAGUACUUGACAUGCUCGUGUUUGUUCCUACAGUAGUCAGACAUUUAGCAAGUGUAUGACUGCAGUGCUUCUGAGCUGUUGUCACGAAGCAAGGUGCUGAUCUGACAAGUACUGUCUAAAGAAAGAAUCCCUGCCUCACUGUGCAAAGCAUCAAAUGACCAGUAGAAGAAAAUGUUAUGUUUUUCUUUAGAUUAUUCUUUCAAUUGCCAGGUGCUGAGGGAUAAAUCCAAAUCCAGAAAAAUGUAAAACAGAAAGAUAAAAAAAGAAAUGGUGGCAGGAGACAUUUGGACAUGAAAUGGACCUGCAUAUUGUUGUCCUUCACUGCACUUAUCCGACUUUAGCUGGAAGAUUCUUUCACAUAAUACGCUCAAAUAGCCCCUACAACUAAAUCAAAUUUCCAGACUAAAUUAAUUAGUUCCAACUUUCUUAAGAUGCAAGAAAUCUUCCACAGUCUUCAAGAGCUACAGUAAUGUAGUUUUGCAUAUAUAUAACAUGUACAAUCAUAGCAGAUAAAGAAAGAAACAGCAUCAGAAAUCAUAGUUCAUGUCAUUCGAGCCCUACCAAAGACAAGUUCAUCAUUUCAGAAUGAAGUAGCUUCACAGGAAACUGAAUGCACAGAUGCUAAGUAUGCAAGCACAGAAAAGGGAUAUGCAUUUCAGAACCAAUUAGAAACCAUCACUUAUUAUAAGCCAACACGAAAUUGCGCAAAUAACCAGAUCUCUAGUUGCUACAAGCAGAUCUCUGGGAAUUUCAGAGGCAGAUCCUACCAUCUGAGAGGUACACUGCAUAGGCAACUGAGUAAGAAGCAUGCGUAUGAUGCUCUGUAUGUUGCUCUGUAACUCUGAAGGAGAUAAAGUAGUUUGUUUAAACUGAGAAGUAACUAACUUCUAAAAAUUGAAGUGACUGUUUUUGCUGGUUACUGAGAAUUCAGCACACUGACUUGUGGUUUUGACAAUGAGCCUACUAGACCAUUUAAGGCAAAUUUAACAAGCUUUGGUCUGAUCCUGUUCUCAACCACACGGUUCUUAGACACGUUUGAAGGGGAAAUGGUCUAUCUGUCAUGGAAUCGUUAGAACAAGGCUGCCUGGUCAUUGGCUAUAUACACAUUACAUCUGUUAUAUUUAACACAUGACUGUAAAUCUGACACUAGAGAGCCUCCCUCCUUUGUUCUUCAUCUCUUUAGCUUUCCCUGGAGAUUGUUUGAUUCCUCCUUCCUCCUCCUUCUCUGCAUUCUCUUUCCCUUUUACUUCAGGAAUAUCCUGGAGCCUUAAGUGACACUCAUUUCCGCUCUUCUGAUUUUUCUGGCUUUUCACCCAUUCUCUUAGCCCUUGCCGCUAUGUAUCAUCCCCUUUGUUCAUGGACACCAUGAUUGUACACAUGAAGACUGAAGGAGAUAAUUAGAAGAAUGCAAACACAUCAUUACAAGGAUGCCCUUUAUAAAACAGCACCAAGCAAAUAUUUAGGACCUUCAUUAAGAGAAAAAUAAAAACAUUA